rnacentral:sRNA from 1 species
AAAAAAAACUAUAGACUAACUUUUUUGUUGUGAAAGUGUGUUAUUUAUAUCUUUAACAUAAGAGAAUGCAUCAUUGGUGGUGUGAGAUAAAACCAUUGUGUCUUUCUAACCCACAUCUAACAAAUAUUUUAUCUAAUUGGGAUAAUAAAAAGUGAAGGCUUAAUAACACCUAAAAAUGCAGCGAAUAUUCUAGCUUCCAUGCGUCAUAAGCAAGCCAAAAAAUUGGAGACUAUAUAUAAGUUCUUCUGUAUAAUUAGAGUUACAAAUUUGUGGAGACUAUAUAUAACUUCUUUUGCCUCCCAUGCGUCAUAAGCAAGCAGAAAAAAAAUGGAGCAAACUUUCAUAACGUGGAAAACUUGUCUUUCUUUUUUUAAUACAUAUUUAAAGGUUUAAAAGAGUUAGGCAAGAUGUGUUAGCGACAAUGUUUUCGAAUGUAAUGAGAAAUAAUCUUUAAGAACAAGUGGUUAUGUACAAAUUUAUGUGAAUAGAUGAUAAAGUAGAUACAACAAAAAUGAUUGAGUAGCAAGAGAUGGAGAAAGAGAACUUUGCUCUAUUAAAAAAUGUGUUUGAGAUCAUUUUAUCAAUUUUUGAAGUAAUUGGCUACAUCGAAUAAUUUAUGUACUUAUAUAUAGUUUCUAUAUCAAUUCAUAUACUUGAUACAUAUAUUAUAAAAACUAAAAUCCUUAAAACUACAAUUUUUGUUUAGAAAAUGUGUUGUGUAUAUCUUCAACAUGAGAGAAUGCAUCAGAGUGGUGUGAUCAAACUCUUCUAACCCAAAUCUAACAAAUAUUUUAGGGUUUUGUGCCAACAACCCUCAAAAAAUUUUUUUUUGCAACAUAACCUUUCAUAUUAAAUACAUGUAGGUCAAUACUCUGAUAUCAAAAGUCACCCGCAAUAUAACCACGUGCAUAGAUUUUAUAUAAUCCUUGGGCGUGUAUAGAUUUUGCAAACAGUAUAAGUAUGUAUAUAAGUGAUUAAACUACGUCGUUUGAGCAUUUUUCGGAAAAUAAUAUAUUACUAAAGUGGAUUGGAACCAAUAAGGCCCCGAUCCAGAUUUGAAACCAGAAAUUGGAAUUUUCAAACUUAGGGUUUGAUUUUGGGGAUUUAUAAGUGGGAAUCUUUCGUUUAUGUCACAACGUCGUCAUAUCUGGUCAAUAACGGAGACUCUUUCACAACCAACGUCGUAUCUGGUCAAUAACGGAGACCCUUUAUCUAUGUAUUUUGAGAUAACUCAGUCGUGAAGGAGUCAUAACUAAGCUGUGUGACUAUUAUAACUCGGCCAAACCCUGAAAGUGCUUUCCUUAAGCCAUCAGUUGGUACAAUCAAGUAAUUAACAUAUCAUAAUCACAUUCCAACUAGUGGAAUCAUGAAACUAUCUCAUAUUCUAUAUACUUUAUCCAACAUCAUACCCAACAACAUCAUUCCUAGAAGUUUGGUCAACAUAGUUUGUCAAUCGACACUUACCGAAAACUCAAUU